rnacentral:lncRNA from 1 species
AUUCAGAGCCAGAACAGCAGUCUUCCGAGGACACAUCCACCAGGCUUUCCAGGGGUGGGGGUCUUCUCCCUGGUGAACAACCUCACAUUCUCUAAGGGCAAUGCUUCCCGGGAGCAGAUGCAUCUUGAGUCUAUUUUGGACAACAUCCUUGAGCCCUGGAACCCUAGGAGCAUCUCCUUACUUUUUCUGAUACUCAUGAACCAUUUUUUCCUCCCCCACACUUCAUUCUGUAUGCAUUUGCAUCAUUCAUCUUCGGCUUCCUUCUAGGAGGCGAAGACGCCUGCCGUUCACAGCAGGCUUUCCCUCUGAUCCAGCCACCAUCAGCACCCCUGCUCCUGCAGGAUCCAGAGGAAGAGCACACAUCAACACCUUGGCCCUUAAGCGGGGAAAUCUUUUGGUGGUCUCCCCGGGCAGCUAUCAUCAGGGGAAGCCAAGUCUUGCCUUGGGCGCUUGUGGUUAAUAUAUCAUGGAUAGCAGCCUGCUAUUUUCUUUAUGUUUCAAGAGGCUGCGCUUUUGUGCUUUUGUUAUCCCCAAGGCCUCACGUAGACAAUGUUUCACUAGGAUUCUUGAAAUACGGACAGAAAAUUUGGGGGGAAAGGAGGAGUAUCAAAACCUUAACAUAAAAAUAAAUUGGGAGAGGAAUGAUGGAUGACGGGAAGGCUCCCUGAGCAGACUGCAGGGAGUCAAGAGGAAAGACUAGUCUUUAUAAUAAUAAGAGUCAACACAGAAUGAGCAUGACUCUGUGUUACUUGUGCUGGUUCUUUGCAUGAGGGCGGCAUGGGGGCAUGGUCAAGAGCAUGGCCAUCAUUCAGUGCUUGAUUGCCCAGCUUUGAAUCUUAGCUUUGCUGGUAACUAGCUGGGUGACCUUAAGCAAGUAGCUUAACUUCCCUGUGCCUGGGACUCCCCAUUUGUAAAUAGGGGCUAUUAGUGUUACCUGCCUCCUAGGAUUGUUGUGACAACUAAGUGAGACCAUUUACUUAGAGCUUACAGAAUAGAAUCUGUAUCUUGUGAAGGUUGGUGAGUUCUGUCACCCCAGUAUUUUCCCAUCUUUAGGCAUUAUUGUCUUCACAAUUUUGCUAGAAUCAUGCACUAAUGCACUUACUUAAUAUUUCAAGACUUUGUCAAACUUAAAAAAUUAUGACUAUAACAUAUUGAAACAAGCACAAAGCAUAGAUGUAUAAAUCAGUAAUCAGUAAUUUACCAAAGCAUAGAUAUAUAAAUCAGUAAUCAAGAAAUGAAACAGAGCAAGGGCCUCGGAAACCCUUCUUCUGCCCCCCUGCUGCUUCUCCAGAGGCAUUCCUGUUCUGACUCCACUGUCAGUUUGCCUGUGUUUGCUCAGUACAUAUAUGGGAUCAGACACUGUGUAUGUUUUUGUGUGUGUCUGACUUCUAUAAGUCAGUGUUGUGUUUGAGAGAAUACCUGUUUUUGCAUAUAGCUGGGGUUCAUUUAUUUUCCAUGCUGUGCCAUAUCCCACUGCAUGAGUAUAGCACCCUGAUGUAUUUAUUCAGCUGCUUAUGGACUUUUGUGUUGUUUCCAGUUUGGGGCUAUUAUGAAUAAUGGUAGUAUUAACAUUUUUGUGCAUACUUAUGGAAGCACGUGUGUGCUGGGCAUAUAUUUAGGCAUAGAAUUGCUGGGUUAUGACAUGUGUGGAGGAGGUAGAGUUAAAUAGACUUUGCAAUGGUUGUACUGUUUCAUCUAUUCUGUAAUAUUUUUAUUGGUUUGUAGAAACUCUUUAUGUAUUCUGGAUACAAGCCCUUUGUUGGUAACAUGUAUUACAAAUACCUUUCUCAUUCUAUGCAAACAUAGUUUAAAUUUUAGAUUUAUCUUAAGUAGUAAUGUUUGUGCAAUUGAGUUUGAUGUUAUUUUUUACCAAAACAUGUAUCUGUAUUAGAUAAAAGUUUUCCCCUGCUCCAACUAAAACUAUUUCCUCGAUACUGAUGUUAUGCCUUAUCAUCCUUUAAGAAAUCUCCAUUAUCACAUUUUAUCCUCACAAAGAACCUAUUUGGUAAGUACCUUUGUUAUCCCUGUUUUCUAGGUUUGGUAUUGGAGGCCCUGAGAGGUCUCAUAAUUUACCCAAAGACACAGCUGACAUGAGGACCCAGGUGUAGUUACUUCCAGAUCUCAGACUAUUUCCAUCAUGUCACUGGUCAGCAGGUUAUUUUAUCAUCGGUUGUACACUCUGGAUCCUUGAGAGACCCUCUGCAUCCCCACAGAAUCUUGAAUGUGGUGAAACCCUCAGCAACCAUUUGGGGGUGGAUGGAUAGAUGGAUGGAUUAAUGGAUAGAUGUAUGAUCUGGUGGAUGGAUGAUGGGUGGAUGAAUGGAUAGAUGGAUGGGUGGAAUAAUGGAUGGAUUAUUGACCUGGUAGGUGGAUGGAUGGAUGGAUGUGUGGGUGACAUGAGGAAUCAAUGUUUCACAAAAGCUCCUUGCCUAGGGAGGAGCCCAUUCUUAGGCCAGGCCCUGAGUACCUGAAGCCUGGACCAUGACCUCACAGCAGGCCUGCUGUGGCCCUUCUCGCCUAGGUGGCCUUAGGGUAGAGAGGUAAGAAAGGAACUGGAGCUGGGGUGAGGAAUGGCAGUCCCAGGCCUACCCUUGUUGGGGAGAGGUGUGAUCUCACCUUCAUCAAUGCAGGGGCUGUUUUAGGAACUCUUGUUGCGGAGGAAGCAGACACUAGUGGUCUGCCUACUCUGAUGAGUUGUUAAACCAGCUCUUUCUAAAUCAGGGCCAGGCUUGGGAUAAAGGUUCUGCUUUGGGAUGCCUUUUAUAUCUUGAAUGGGGGGCUGUUCUCUGCUCCUUCUUUGGGUAGAGAAUGGGCAGAGUCAAGGAUCAGUUCCCGUGUUCUUGAGACUCACUGCGUUUGAUCUUGCCUCACUCCUGCUUCCUUUGCACACUUGAACAUUUGCUUCUGUCCCAGGAGCUGAUGUGGGUGUUUCUGUAGAAAGGAUGGUAAAUUGGAUUCUGUCUAAAGAGCACAGAUGAGGAUUCCCAUAGGGAGAGCUCUGCUAGGGACUGGAAAGGGGUGAUUAUGAGAUCAUUGUGCCUGGCCUUAAAUCUCUCUUGAGAUAUUUGUUGAAACUAUUCCUACUAAGUAGCUACCAGAACCUUUUCCCAUCCUGAGUGCUGGUGAUGUGCUGUUCUGGACUCUUUCUGAGCACAUGCCUGGGAAAGUGCUUGUUGUAUUUAAUAAAUAGUGUUGAUUUAUUGCCUUUAUUGAUCUGCUGGAGCUCUCUGUAUUAUCAGAGGUGAUAGCCUUCUUAGGAAAACAUGGAAGAUCUCUUCAUUAGCAUCCAUUUUUCUAUGAGGCUUUGGAGGGUGAAAUACCCAGAUGCACAUUGUUCAUUCUGGUGAUGUAUUGCGCACCAUCAGGGUGAACCAUGGCUUUGGUAUAAAUCAGGUGGAAGGAAGGGAUCAAGAGCAUUUGCCGUAGGCCUGCGAGAGUUUUUGUGAUGACACGAGCAGGCUACUUUUCUUCCUUUCUGUGAUGACAAGCGCCUCUCUUAAUUUUCCACAAGGGAGCAGCAGCAGGCAGAAGGGGCUCUUAGGGGAGAGGCAUACCUCCAGAGCCAGACCAGUCUGGGAUGUUUUAGAACAUCCUGCUUAAGGCUGGUGGCCUGACAGCACGUGAAUCACUUGAUACUUUGGUGUCUGUGCUUCCUGUUCUGUGUUAGUUUAUGCCCUGACCCUGACAAAGUUUCUUUCUAUCCCUCUGCUUCCUGCCCCAGAUCCAGUUCAGCCUGAGACUAGCUCUGAGGCUUGCUGUAGCCAGUAGGCCCUGAGUUUCGGGGAGAAGCCCAGACACACCUGAGAGGGAUGCUUAGAAUCUAAGGGGGCAUUGAUCCUGGACCCCUCCAUGCCUUCUGGAUUCUUCCUUAGGCUUCUCUCUUCUUCCUGGAUAAGGCUUGUAGAGACUGGUACCUGCUUUCAUCUCUCCACAGAGGAUGCUUUGGGUAUGGGAGCCCCAUCUCUGGGAGCUUUAGAUCCUGACAACUGCAAAUCCUUCUGCCUUCUUUGUGCCUGUGUCUGUCUGUCUCUUCAGCACUCAAAUUUCCUUGAAUCUUUUCCACAUCUGGCCUGAAGCAGUGCCCUCUCCUUGCAUGCUUACAGAGGAGAAUGUGCUUCCCCUCCAGAGGUCCUCAGGCCAGCAUCUGUGGUGACCAGGGAUGGUUCUGAGUUUGAAUCUAGUCCCAAGCUGUGUGACCUUGGGCAGAUUACUUAGUUUCUCUGAGCUUCAGGUGCCUUAUUUGCUUGAGGUGGAUCAUCAUGCCAAACUCAAAAGAUUAUUGCAAGGACUAAAUGAAUCAGUGUUUGCCAAGUGCUUAGCGGUAUCCGACACAUAAUGCCUGUUCAAACAAUGCCAACUAUCAUUAUUAGCAAAGUUUCUCUAAAUGCACAUUAAGCAGGCCGCACUCAAAGCCAGGGCCAAUGCUGUGCCCGGUUAACUGUAGGUGCUGAGGGUCAAAUUGUGAGUGAGACUGACAUGUCCCUGCUUGCAAGGAGCUUAUUUCCCCAUGGAUGAGGCUGGCAAUGAGACAGACAAUUAAAAUACAGCCUGAGAAGUACCAUGGCUGGUAGGGGUGGGGUAUCCCUGACCAUAGUAUGAAUAUACAGAGGGCCUCAAAUCCAGUCUAAGAGCCGUAUCAGCCCUCCCCAGGCUGAAUGGAGCCUCUAAAAGCUGACCAGGACUGGAAGGGCUAAGGAGUAAAGGCAGUGCUGGAAGCCUCCCAUUUAUCCAUCAUUGGUAAAAUCUCCACCCACCACUCCCCCACCCCAUCCCUGCCCAGUCUGGCCAACCCCAGCAAGGAAGAGCCUUCCAUUCCCACGAGGUCAGCUUGCUCUUUAAAAACUGUGGAUGACCAACCUGAUCUCUCUUGGCCAUUGGUUGUAAUACCUGCCCAUUACAAUCAGACUGCUGGAAAGGACGCCCCCUCCAGGCAGAGCUUGGUACUGUCAGUUACAUCCAUAGCACUCUGCAGCACUGGGCACAGCUUGAUUCUUCUUCAGUCUCGAGGAUGUUAAUAAAUUAAUCAAUUAAAGAAAAAAGAAGCGAGGUCAGGUAUACUCAUUCUUUUGCAUUAAUAAAGAAUAUUUUGAUUGCAAGUAAAAAAAUAUACUAAG